AAACAACCAUGAAAGUUCUCAUUGCAAUUGCAGUUGUUUUGGCCAUUCUAGCCCUAAACCAAGCUCAAGAAGAAUCUAAUCACGCUGAACAAUCUGAAGAAGAGUCCUUACCAGCACCAUUUUCUGACGAAUCUUCUGAUGAUAUUGACCACUAAGACCUGAAGGACCUGAAAGGUCUCCAAGACCCGGCAGACCUGGUAGAAUUAUCUGUAGAUAUCGUAUCCCAAGGCCUCAGCUUAAUAAUGAUCCAUAAGCUGACAAUGGAAAUUUUAAAGGAACUCCCCAUCGACCAUCACGUAUUCCAUUAUUUUAAACAGGGAAUUCAUAAAUGCAUUUUGGCUUAUGGAAAAUG